rnacentral:piRNA from 1 species
CAACCAUCCUAACGAGAUC